rnacentral:rRNA from 1 species
CAGUCGCCACGGUAAUACAGAGGGUGCAAGCGUUAAUCGGAAUUACUGGGCGUAAAGCGCGCGUAGGUGGUUUGUUAAGUUGGAUGUGAAAUCCCCGGGCUCAACCUGGGAACUGCAUCCAAAACUGGCAAGCUAGAGUAUGGUAGAGGGUGGUGGAAUUUCCUGUGUAGCGGUGAAAUGCGUAGAUAUAGGAAGGAACACCAGUGGCGAAGGCGACCACCUGGACUGAUACUGACACUGAGGUGCGAAAGCGUGGGGAGCAAACAGGAUUAGAGACCCGCGUAGUCCCUGUCUCUUAUAC